rnacentral:rRNA from 1 species
UACGUAGGGGGCAAGCGUUGUCCGGAUUUAUUGGGCGUAAAGAGCGUGUAGGCGGCCAUACAGGUCAGCUGUGAAAACUCGAGGCUCAACCUCGAGACGUCGGUUGAAACCGUAUGGCUAGAGUCCGGAAGAGGAGAGUGGAAUUCCCGGUGUAGCGGUGAAAUGCGCAGAUAUCGGGAAGAACACCCGGGGCGAAGGCGGCUCUCUGGGACGGUACUGACGCUGAGACGCGAAAGCGUGGGGAGCGAACAGG